CUUGGAAAUGGCAGUGCCUGGGCCAAAGCUCAUUGCCUAUUCUUGCUCAGGGGGCACUUGAUGGGACCUUUAGGGUCCCCAGCCCUCCUGUGUGUGCCCCUCUUCAGAUCCCCAGCUCUUUCUGGUGUCCCUUAUGAGUCCCUAAACAAGGCUGGCUUCCUCCCUCAUUCCAUCCAUGCUGGAGCCCUGGAGGGGAUUUUACUGAAGCACUCAAUGGGGAGCAGACACCGGCAAGCCAAGAGCCUUCCUUAGACGUCCCCUCUCCCCCAUGGGGUACACCCUUCCUGUGGCCCUCAGGGCCCAUCUGCCCUUCAGCCCCACAGGAAGAUGCUGCCCUCACCCUCACCCUCUCUUUACCCUGGGCAUCCCAACUGGACAAGGUCCUGAGCCCCAACCUGGAGUCACACGCUGCCCGCCUUUCCUUCUCUAGGAAUCUGAAUCCCAGACUCCCAGAGGUAAGUGAACUUCAGGGUUAUAGUCUCCAUCCUUCUAUCCCAUACUUCAUUCUCUGUCCCCAGUAAUUUUUUAAAAAGAUUUAUUUAUUCAUGAGAGACACACACACACACAGAGAGGCAGAGACACAGGCAGGGGGAAGAAGCAGGCUCCAUGCAGGGAGCCCGAUGCGGGACUUGAUCCCAGGAUCCCAGGAUUAUGCCCUGAGCCCAAGGCAGACGCUCAACCACUGAACCACCCAGGCAUCCCAUCCUCAGUAAUUAAACCGCUGCUUGCACACUUCUCGUAUCAGGGAACUCACUGCUCUGUGGUUUGGAGGAAAUUCUGAUUGUGGAAGUGAUCCUCAUCCACAGAGCUGAUACUUGCCUCCCCAGUCACAGCUCUGCUUUCUGGGGCCACACAGUGCCAGGUGGCCUCUCACUUGGGAAUUUCUAAGCGGAUCCAAAGUCCAACCCAGUGCUUAGGGGGCUCCUCUACUCUGUCCCCCAGUCCUCUACAGAGAUAACAUCCUGGUUCUGCUAAUCCACUCAUAGUUCUCUUAUUUGGGGUCCCUGGCUCUUUGGAGCUACAGGACUAGGGGGACCCAAGACCCCUGAGAACUGUAACUUGCCCCAAUUGUGACCUUCCCUUGGAUCUUGUCCUCAUUUUUUUUUAUUUU
rnacentral:lncRNA from 1 species